UACGUAGGGUGCGAGCGUUAAUCGGAAUUACUGGGCGUAAAGAGUGCGUAGGCGGUUUCUCAAGUCCGCUGUGAAAUCCCCGGGCUCAACCUGGGAAUGGCAGUGGAGACUAGGAGACUUGAAUCUGGCAGAGGGGGGUGGAAUUCCACGUGUAGCAGUGAAAUGCGUAGAGAUGUGGAGGAACACCGAUGGCGAAGGCAGCCCCCUGGGCUGAGAUUGACGCUCAGGCACGAAAGCGUGGGGAGCAAACAGG
rnacentral:rRNA from 1 species